UACGUAGGUUGCGAGCGUUGUCCGGAUUUACUGGGCGUAAAGAGCGCGCAGGCGGCUGGUCAAGUCCGAUGUGAAAGCUCCCGGCUUAACUGGGAAAUUGCAUCGGAAAAUGAUCGGCUGGAAGGUGGGAGAGGGUAGCGGAAUUCCCGGUGUAGUGGUGAAAUGCGUAGAUAUCGGGAGGAACACCAGUGGCGAAAGCGGCUACCUGGCCCAUUCUUGACGCUGAGGCGCGAAAGCUAGGGGAGCAAACGGG
rnacentral:rRNA from 1 species